GACGGAGCGAGAGGCUGUGCGUGGCCGGCAGGAGAUGCCCGCGUCCAGAGGCCCGCUGUGCCGGCAGGGUCCCGGGGCGCAGGGGGUCGUGGCCGGGCCUGGGCUGGGUGGCGUGAGUGACCGUGCUGGGCUCGGCCAGGGCCGUGUGAACCGGCCUCCAGGCUCUGCUCCCGGCUCUUUGAAGCCCUUCCAGGUGGCCCGGCUCGGGACGCCCCGUGAGGACCUUCACAUUUCCAGUUCAUCCAGAUCCACCAGGCAAAGUCAAACUGUCCAGUUCCCCCGGGGCCUCUGGCCCAGCCGCCCAGGGAGGCCUCCGUGGGAAGGCGCCUCUGGACGAGUCUCUGAGCCCGACCGAGCUUCCUGCCUCCCGUGGGGCCAGGCCUCCCUCUCACGGUCUUCCCACUCGGGGCCACACAGAGGCUGCAGCUCCCAGGCCAGCCCUCACCCACCAAGUGGCCAGGGUGGGGACAGUGGCCGCGUCUGGCUAUGUAGGGGCCCAGCCACAGUAAGGUGGGUGGGACGGCAAAUGGUAGCAUUGGGGCUUCCAGGGACCGCAGCCUCUGGGUGGGAGAUGGCAAAGGGCAUGUCCAGGUGGAGAGGGAGGGGGCCUGGCGUGCGUGCGUGUGUGUGCAUGUGUGUGUGUGGCCGGGCUGGGGGUAUGGAGAGGUGACGGUGGGCUGACGCCCAGGGUGGGGUGGGCAGGCCCAGGGACGUGCCGCCUGCUUGGUGAGCCAAUGGCCAGAUGGGUGAGGUGUCAAGGGAGCAUGUUCCAGACGGCAAGUCCCUCACGUCCUUGGAAUUGAAGACCUUCACACUGGACCCCUCAUGAUGGGGAGGCUGAGACCCUGGAAGGAAGGUGGAAGCCCUGGCCACACUGCUGGGAGAGGACCCCUCGGCUCCCACACCCAGAGACCCCUUGAGGAGGGUCCUCGGGUCCCUCGUGAUGUAAUCAAGGGAUCGCAAGAUGCGAUCCUCUUGGAAUCUCCGCGUGGGCCCUAAAUCCAGGGACAGGUGUCCUUACAAGACACAGAAGAGGAGAGGACAUGGAGAUGAGGAGGAGCAGGUCGUGUGAAGACGAGGCAGAGACGGGAGUGGUGCGGCCGCCGCCAGGCUUCCCUGAUGGCUGGGACGUCUGUGGCCUGUGAGCUGGACAGUCUGGAAGCGAGCAUCUUCAGCAGCUGUGCCUGACCCCGGGCUCCAGAAGUUUCCCGAGUCUGCAGGAAUUGCCAGGAGACGCAGAGCAACCCCUUUAAUCAGGCUCCGUGAACUCUUUAACCCAAAGCUCUGUGUGUGGGCGCGUGGCCAUUUUCUUGGUCACUUAGAGGCAGGAUAAGGCCAGUGCCAACCCAGAGCCGAGAUGUGGUGACGGGGCCACAGCAUCUCUGUUUACAGGAAUCUCUGACCUGGGCUCCCCGAACAGCAGUCACUCCCUUCGGAGUCUCAAAUCAGUCGAUCCGUUAACGUGCGUGCUGACUGUUUGUUGAGCGCUUCCUGUGUCCCAGGCAUUGCACACCCAUUAUCAGACUUAGUCCUCACCACUUCCCCAUGGCAUGCCCGUGUACAGAUGAGGAAACUGAGGCUCAGAGAGGAAAGUCCUGACUCUUAGGGUUUAGAGUCCCUGGGCAAGAGGGCUUUGAGCUGGAGGUGGGGUUUGGACUGGGGACGUGGAGGUGAAGCCAUGGCAGGAGGGAACCAUGAGAGCGAUGUCCAGCAAUGGCAAACGUGAGGCCAAGGGGAUGGCCUAGGGUAGCCUCUGCCUCCAAGGCCAGGGGUGGGACACGUGGCCCACUGGGGGUCCCCUGGACUGAGGUCAUUGCACAGCUCUAGGAAGAGACAGGCAGGAUGUGCAAAUUAUUCUACCCAGACAAUUGUCUUCUAGGGGGAUGACCAGUGUUAGCCAUCCAUCCAUCUAUCCAUCAAAACUCCCUUCCUCCCCUCUCUCACUCCUUUCCUUCCUCUCCCUCUCCAUCUAUCCGUCCAUCUAUCAACCAUCCAUCCAUCUAUCCAUCAUCCAUCCAUCCAUCCAUCUACCCAUCCAGCCAUCAUCCACCCAUCCAUCCAUCCAUCAUCCAUCCAUCCAUCCAUCCAUCUACCCAUCCAUCCAUCAUCCAUCCAUCCAUCCAUCUACCCAUCCAUCCAUCCAUCCAUCACCCAUCCAUCCAUCCAUCCAGUCAUCAUCCAUCCAUCCAUCCAUCCAUCUACCCAUCCAUCCAGUCAUCAUCCAUCCAUCCAUCCAUCCAUCCAUCACCCAUCCAUCCAUCACCCAUCCAUCCAUCCAUCCAGUCAUCAUCCAUCCAUCCAUCAUCCAUCCAUCAUCCAUCCAUCCAUCCAUCCAUCCAUCC
ensembl:lncRNA